UAAAGACUUAUAAUUAAGCCGGUCAAUAUAAACUAUAGUUCAAAAUCCAAAGAAUUUGGCGGUAUCUUAAAUAAUCAGGGGAACCUGUAACUUAAUUUGAUAAUCCACACACAUCUAAUCAUAUUUUGAAUUUCAGCCUGUGUACUGCUGUCGACAGUAAACCUCUAAAAGUUAGUUUACAAAUCUACAUAAUAAACACGUCAAGUCAAAGUGCAGCCUAUAAUAUGAUGGUAUAUGGGUUACAAUUUUCACAUAAAUACGAACUAUUAAAAUAAAAAUAAUAUAAAGGUGGACUUGACAGUAAUUCUUAUAAAAUACUAGAAUAAACAAUAACCUAAGAUAUGCACACAUCGCCCGUCGCUCUCAUCUUG
rnacentral:rRNA from 1 species